GAUGAACGCUAGCUACAGGCUUAACACAUGCAAGUCGAGGGGAAACGAUAGAGAAAGCUUGCUUUUUCUAGGCGUCGACCGGCGCACGGGUGAGUAACGCGUAUCCAACCUGCCCAUCACUUGGGGAUAACCUUGCGAAAGUAAGACUAAUACCCAAUGACGUCUCUAGAAGACAUCUGAAAGGGAUUAAAGAUUUAUCGGUGAUGGUUGGGGAUGCGUCUGAUUAGCUUGUUGGCGGGGUAACGGCCCACCAAGGCGACGAUAAGUAGGGGUUCUGAGAGGAAGGUCCCCCACAUUGGAACUGAGACACGGUCCAAACUCCUACGGGAGGCAGCAGUGAGGAAUAUUGGUCAAUGGACGAGAGUCUGAACCAGCCAAGUAGCGUGCAGGAUGACGGCCCUAUGGGUUGUAAACUGCUUUUAUAAGGGAAUAAAGUGAGAGUCGUGACUCUUUUUGCAUGUACCUUAUGAAUAAGGACCGGCUAAUUCCGUGCCAGCCGCCGCGGUAA
rnacentral:rRNA from 1 species